rnacentral:tRNA from 1 species
UAUAACUUAGUGUAUGGGGCACAAAAGUUUUUGAAAUUUUUAGAGAUAGUUCGAUUCUAUUAGUUAUAA